GACAAGCAUGAUGGGAAAGACAGCAGUGACAGAGGAUUCUUAUCAGACAUGGCACAUGGACUUUAUCCAUCAGGACACCACUCUGGAUACCCUCCAGCACCUGGGGCAUACCCUCCUCAAGGUUACCCCCCAGCACCUGGGGGAUACCCUCCCCAGGGUUACCCCUCAGCACCUGGGGGAUACCCUCCUCAAGGUUACCCCUCAGCACCUGGGGGAUACCCUCCUCAAGGGUAUCCUCCACAGGGAUACCCUCCACAUGGGUACGCACCCGGUGGAUACCCACCAGCAGCUUAUCCUGGUCCAUCUGCUCCACAUCAAGGUAUGCAUCAUUUCUACAAAACUACAGAUAGCAUAUUGGAGAGUGGAGACCUUUCUUAUGAUCCAUCCUCCAUGUUGGUAUAGUGUUUUAAGUGGUAGAAACCCAUGGAACCAUCAGUGCUGCUCUAUUGCUACUAUAGAUCAUCUAAUCCUUACUGAUCUGAAAAGGAAAUUGAUGAAGGCUAAAGUUCUCCACCGAGAUCAUUAUUGCUAUUCACUUAUUAGCAGCACCACGAUUAUUUAACCAUCCUUAUCAUUAUUAACGAGCACAGUUGUACAAUUAGAAGCUGUUAUUUCAUUUUCGAUUGUUCUUGUUCUUUGUUUAAUUGUAUAAAUCAUUACACACAACAUGUAGGAUCAUCUCCAUUCAUCUAACAACAAAGGGUUCCUUCCACUUGUAUGCCUGGUUCUUUGUAGUUCAUAAUAUGAGCCUCAACAACCUUGUUACUUGGACGGACAUUGUUCCUUGAUAUCUUUAAUUUCUUCGACAAUCACCGGGUCAAAAACUUUUCACAGGACAUGGAUCUCACAUGGGAACGAUGCUAGCUGGGGGUGCAGCCGCUGCAGCGGCCGC
rnacentral:lncRNA from 1 species